AUUGAACGCUGGCGGCAGGCCUAACACAUGCAAGUCGAGCGGAUGAAGGGAGCUUGCUCCUGGAUUCAGCGGCGGACGGGUGAGUAAUGCCUAGGAAUCUGCCUGGUAGUGGGGGAUAACGUCCGGAAACGGGCGCUAAUACCGCAUACGUCCUGAGGGAGAAAGUGGGGGAUCUUCGGACCUCACGCUAUCAGGUGAGCCUAGGUCGGAUUAGCUAGUUGGUGGGGUAAAGGCCUACCAAGGCGACGAUCCGUAACUGGUCUGAGAGGAUGAUCAGUCACACUGGAACUGAGACACGGUCCAGACUCCUACGGGAGGCAGCAGUGGGGAAUAUUGGACAAUGGGCGAAAGCCUGAUCCAGCCAUGCCGCGUGUGUGAAGAAGGUCUUCGGAUUGUAAAGCACUUUAAGUUGGGAGGAAGGGCAGUAAGUUAAUACCUUGCUGUUUUGACGUUACCAACAGAAUAAGCACCGACUAACUUCGUG
rnacentral:rRNA from 1 species